UACGUAGGGGGCUAGCGUUGUCCGGAUUUAUUGGGCGUAAAGAGCGUGUAGGCGGUCCGUUAAGUCGGCUGUGAAAGUCCAAGGCUCAACCUUGGGAUGCCGGUCGAUACUGCCGGACUAGAGUUCGGAAGAGGCGAGUGGAAUUCCCGGUGUAGCGGUGAAAUGCGCAGAUAUCGGGAGGAACACCUAUGGCGAAGGCAGCUCGCUGGGACGUUACUGACGCUGGAGACGCGAAAGCGUGGGGAGCAAACAGG
rnacentral:rRNA from 1 species